rnacentral:rRNA from 1 species
CCUACGGGAGGUAGCAGUGGGGAAUCUUGGACAAUGGGGGCAACCCUGAUCCAGCCAUGCCGCGUGUGUGAAGAAGGCCCUAGGGUUGUAAAGCACUUUCAGCAGGGAGGAAGGCUUGAGGUUAAUACCCUUGAGUACUUGACGUUACCUGCAGAAGAAGUACCGGCUAAUUUCGUGCCAGCAGCCGCGGUAAU